rnacentral:rRNA from 1 species
AUCACUAAGCGGAGGAAAAGAAACUAACAAGGAUUCCCCUAUUAACGGCGAGUGAAGCGGGAAUAGCCCAGCACCGAAUCCCUCAGCCUUGCGCUGCCGGGACCUGUGGUGUUUGGGACGGCCGAUGUCGUGUCGUUCGGGUGCCCAAGUCCUCCUGAUCGGGGCCUCUCCCAGAGUGGGUGUCAGGCCUUUACCGGCACUCGUCGACUCGGCUAUGGUCGUCCUCGGAGUCGGGUUGUUUGGGAAUGCAGCCCAAAGUUGGUGGUAAACUCCAUUUAAGGCUAAAUACUGACACGAGUCCGAUAGCGGACAAGUACCGUGAGGGAAAGUUGAAAA